GACAGAGGGGGCAAGCGUUAUUCGGAAUUAUGGGGCGUAAAGGGCGCGUAGGCGGCCUGGCAAGUGGAAGGUGAAAUCCCUCGGCUUAACCGAGGAACUGCCCUCCAAACUGCUUGGCUUGAGUCCGGGAGAGGUGAGUGGAAUUCCCAGUGUAGCGGUGAAAUGCGUAGAUAUUGGGAGGAACUCCAGUGGCGAAGGCGGCUCGCUGGACCGGAACUGACGCUGAGGCGCGAAAGCGUGGGGAGCAAACGGG
rnacentral:rRNA from 1 species